UACGGGGGGAGCAAGCGUUGUUCGGAUUUACUGGGCGUAAAGGGCGCGUAGGCGGCGUGACAAGUCACUUGUGAAAUCUCCGGGCUUAACCCGGAGCGGCCAAGUGAUACUGUCGUGCUAGAGUGCGGAAGGGGCUACUGGAAUUCUCGGUGUAGCGGUGAAAUGCGUAGAUAUCGAGAGGAACACCUGCGGCGAAGGCGGGUAGCUGGGCCGACACUGACGCUGAGGCGCGAGAGCCAGGGGAGCGAACGGG
rnacentral:rRNA from 1 species